UCCCUCCUCUCUCUCCGGCUUGAGCAGCGGCGGAGACGGGAACCACCCUUCCGAGCCAGGGUCCGGCCGCCGCCGCCGCCAACGCGCAGCCCCCGUAUCCCCUCCUCCUCGGUCGAUUUGAAUGGCCCCUACGAACUAGGGUUCCGGCCAUCGCUGACGCCGACCACCGUGGCGCAGCUGGUCGAUCUCCGGCCAGGAUGAUCCGCAGCCAUGAAGGUUUCGGAGGGCCGCGGCCCAGCCGGUCAAGUACUGGGCCGAGGCAGACGCGGUGUCGCCGGCGGUUGCCGCGACCGCGGCGACGAAGCUGCAGGUCCUCUGAACAACGACAACGGACUCCUCUGAACAGAAGGUUCUGAGGCGGCUGAAGAAGGUGUGCCAUGAAUCGCAGCAGGAUAAUAAGCGUCCCGCAGACUCUGAGCAUUUUUCAGUUUCUCCGAUCCAUACUAGGCAUAUGAAGUCAAAUUCUGCCUCCACUUCUGAUGAAGAAAGAGAGGACAUGAUUCCCAUCUCCUGGAGGAUGAAGCGGUGCCACCUGGAAACUAAACACAAAGAUGCCAGCUACGAAGUGAAGCCGAAGGUGUAUCCGUCUACCAGCAGUUGUUCCCAGCAAGAGUUUGUGGAAGCAACUAGAGAUUCAGCUUCAGUGGUUGAGCAGCAGGGCAGCUCAGGUCAGAGAUUUGCAAGUGAUGACAAGCCACCUGGGUAUUGGCACACGUAUUAGGGUGUGGCUACACACAGGUGGUAACCUCAACAGAUAGAAUUUUUUGUCUAGGUGCAUUGUUAACAACACGAAACGGUUGCAUUAUGGUUAGCACAUAUGCUGACUGACUGAGUUUAGGAAAGGUGAGGAGAGGAGGAUAGGGCUGAUUACUUUGGUUAAUCCAUUCUUUGUGCAGCAUGGCCUCCAAUUUGAGGCCUCGCUAGGCACGGUUAGAAAUCAUGAUUUGUUUAGAGGCUCUGAGUCCCAGCUUGCUGCUCUUUGAUGCCUGCAUUGCCUGUGAUGGAAUUGGGCCUCGCUACCUUCCAUUCUGCAAGUCCUUUUUUCUUUUGUUUAGCAGCUGUAAAUCUCUGUGUAUCUUCUUGUUUUUAUCAUCAACAAGAGCGGCAUUAGCUGCUGCUAACUGUAUUCUUUCAUACGCUUGUCGAUUCAAGUAUCCUUGGCUUACCUGCUUCUGAAAUAUUCAAUCAAUUGAGCAAAUCAUUCUUUUA